ACAAUGUAGAUAUUUAAGCAGGAAAUAGAAUUUACAUAUAAAUUUCUAUUUCUGUUUCUAUUUCCUGCUUAAAUAUCUACAUUGC
ensembl:miRNA